UUGCCAGACUCCUACGGGAGGCAGCAGUGGGGAAUAUUGGGCAAUGGGCGCAAGCCUGACCCAGCAACGCCGCGUGAAGGAAGAAGGCUUUCGGGUUGUAAACUUCUUUUCUCAGGGACGAAGAAAGUGACGGUACCUGAGGAAUAAGCCACGGCUAACUACGUGCCAGCAGCCGCGGUAAUACGUAGGGGGCAAGCGUUAUCCGGAUUCACUGGGUGUAAAGGGAGCGUAGACGGCGGCGCAAGUCUGGAGUGAAAGCCCGGGGCCCAACCCCGGGACUGCUCUGGAAACUGCGGCGCUGGAGUACGGGAGGGGCAGGCGGAAUUCCUGGUGUAGCGGUGAAAUGCGUAGAUAUCAGGAGGAACACCGGUGGCGAAGGCGGCCUGCUGGACUGCGACUGACGUUGAGGCCCGAAAGCGUGGGGAGCAAACAGGAUUAGAUACCCCCGUAA
rnacentral:rRNA from 1 species